rnacentral:rRNA from 1 species
UACAGAGGUCUCAAGCGUUGUUCGGAUUCAUUGGGCGUAAAGGGUGCGUAGGCGGCGCGGUAAGUCGGGUGUGAAAUCUCGGGGCUUAACUCCGAAACUGCAUUCGAUACUGCCGUGCUUGAGGACUGGAGAGGAGACUGGAAUUUACGGUGUAGCGGUGAAAUGCGUAGAUAUCGUAAGGAAGACCAGUGGCGAAGGCGGUCUCUGGACAGUUCCUGACGCUGAGGCACGAAGGCCAGGGGAGCAAACGGG